AUUCCUCAGCAGUUGGUGGAGCGAUUACAAGAAGAGAAAAGGAUCGAGGCUCAGAAGCGGAAGGAGCGGCAGGAAGCCCAUCUCUAUAUGCAAGUGCAGAUAGUCGCAGAGGACCAGUUUUGUGGCCACCAAGGAAAUGACAUGUAUGAUGAAGAAAAAGUGAAAUACACUGUGUUCAAAGUAUUGAAGAACUCCUCGCUUGCUGAGUUUGUUCAGAGCCUCUCUCAGACCAUGGGAUUUCCACAAGAUCAAAUUCGAUUGUGGCCCAUGCAAGCAAGGAGUAAUGGAACAAAACGACCAGCAAUGUUAGAUAAUGAAGCCGACGGCAAUAAAACAAUGAUUGAGCUCAGUGAUAAUGAAAACCCUUGGACAAUAUUCCUGGAAACAGUUGAUCCCGAGCUGGCUGCUAGUGGAGCGACCUUACCCAAGUUUGAUAAAGAUCGUAAGUGCCCACGAGACGCCUGCCUGCACUUAGAGCAGUAGCGUUGGAUUCCUGGAUUGUUGUUCUAAACACACAGGGUUAAGCCUUCUUCCCUUGCAGAAAGAUCUGUUGAUCAAUUCCACAAAAGCUCACUAGACUUCCUGAUGAAG
rnacentral:sRNA from 1 species